AGUGAACGCUGGCGGUAGGCCUAACACAUGCAAGUCGAACGGCAGCACAGUAAGAGCUUGCUCUUACGGGUGGCGAGUGGCGGACGGGUGAGGAAUACAUCGGCAUCUACUUUUUCGUGGGGGAUAACGUAGGGAAACUUACGCUAAUACCGCAUACGACCUACGGGUGAAAGCAGGGGAUCUUCGGACCUUGCGCGAUUGAAUGAGCCGAUGUCGGAUUAGCUAGUUGGCGGGGUAAAGGCCCACCAAGGCGAGGAUCCGUAGCUGGUCUGAGAGGAUGAUCAGCCACACUGGAACUGAGACACGGUCCAGACUCCUACGGGAGGCAGCAGUGGGGAAUAUUGGGCAAUGGGCGCAAGCCUGGUCCAGCCAUACCGCGUGGGUGAAGAAGGCCUUCGGGUUGUAAAGCCCUUUUGUUGGGAAAGAAAAGCAGCAGGUUAAUACCCCGCUGUUCUGACGGUACCCAAAGAAUAAGCGCCGGCUAACUUCGUG
rnacentral:rRNA from 1 species